AAAUUGAAGAGUUUGAUCAUGGCUCAGAUUGAACGCUGGCGGCAGGCCUAACACAUGCAAGUCGAGCGGUAGCACAGAGAGCUUGCUCUCGGGUGACGAGCGGCGGACGGGUGAGUAAUGUCUGGGAAACUGCCUGAUGGAGGGGGAUAACUACUGGAAACGGUAGCUAAUACCGCAUAACGUCGCAAGACCAAAGUGGGGGACCUUCGGGCCUCAUGCCAUCAGAUGUGCCCAGAUGGGAUUAGCUAGUAGGUGGGGUAACGGCUCACCUAGGCGACGAUCCCUAGCUGGUCUGAGAGGAUGACCAGCCACACUGGAACUGAGACACGGUCCAGACUCCUACGGGAGGCAGCAGUGGGGAAUAUUGCACAAUGGGCGCAAGCCUGAUGCAGCCAUGCCGCGUGUGUGAAGAAGGCCUUCGGGUUGUAAAGCACUUUCAGCGGGAGGAAGGCGGUGAGGUUAAUAACCUCAUCGAUUGACGUUACCCGCAGAAGAAGCACCGGCUAACUCCGUGCCAGCAGCCGCGGUAAUACGGAGGGUGCAAGCGUUAAUCGGAAUUACUGGGCGUAAAGCGCACGCAGGCGGUCUGUCAAGUCGGAUGUGAAAUCCCCGGGCUUAACCUGGGAACUGCAUUCGAAACUGGCAGGCUAGAGUCUUGUAGAGGGGGGUAGAAUUCCAGGUGUAGCGGUGAAAUGCGUAGAGAUCUGGAGGAAUACCGGUGGCGAAGGCGGCCCCCUGGACAAAGACUGACGCUCAGGUGCGAAAGCGUGGGGAGCAAACAGGAUUAGAUACCCUGGUAGUCCACGCCGUAAACGAUGUCGAUUUGGAGGUUGUGCCCUUGAGGCGUGGCUUCCGGAGCUAACGCGUUAAAUCGACCGCCUGGGGAGUACGGCCGCAAGGUUAAAACUCAAAUGAAUUGACGGGGGCCCGCACAAGCGGUGGAGCAUGUGGUUUAAUUCGAUGCAACGCGAAGAACCUUACCUGGUCUUGACAUCCACAGAACUUUCCAGAGAUGGAUUGGUGCCUUCGGGAACUGUGAGACAGGUGCUGCAUGGCUGUCGUCAGCUCGUGUUGUGAAAUGUUGGGUUAAGUCCCGCAACGAGCGCAACCCUUAUCCUUUGUUGCCAGCGGUCCGGCCGGGAACUCAAAGGAGACUGCCAGUGAUAAACUGGAGGAAGGUGGGGAUGACGUCAAGUCAUCAUGGCCCUUACGACCAGGGCUACACACGUGCUACAAUGGCAUAUACAAAGAGAAGCGACCUCGCGAGAGCAAGCGGACCUCAUAAAGUAUGUCGUAGUCCGGAUUGGAGUCUGCAACUCGACUCCAUGAAGUCGGAAUCGCUAGUAAUCGUAGAUCAGAAUGCUACGGUGAAUACGUUCCCGGGCCUUGUACACACCGCCCGUCACACCAUGGGAGUGGGUUGCAAAAGAAGUAGGUAGCUUAACCUUCGGGAGGGCGCUUACCACUUUGUGAUUCAUGACUGGGGUGAAGUCGUAACAAGGUAACCGUAGGGGAACCUGCGGUUGGAUCACCUCCUUACCUUAAAGAA
rnacentral:rRNA from 1 species